AGGAUUAGCUUGCUAAUCGCUGACGAGUGGCGGACGGGUGAGUAAUGCUUGGGAAUUUGCCUUUGCGAGGGGGAUAACAGUUGGAAACGACUGCUAAUACCGCAUAACGUCUACGGACCAAAGGGGGCUUAGGCUCCCGCGUGAAGAGAAGCCCAAGUGGGAUUAGCUAGUUGGUGAGGUAAAGGCUCACCAAGGCGACGAUCCCUAGCUGUUCUGAGAGGAUGAUCAGCCACACUGGGACUGAGACACGGCCCAGACUCCUACGGGAGGCAGCAGUGGGGAAUAUUGCACAAUGGGGGAAACCCUGAUGCAGCCAUGCCGCGUGUGUGAAGAAGGCCUUCGGGUUGUAAAGCACUUUCAGUGGUGAGGAAAGGUUAACGGUUAAUACCCGUUAGCUGUGACGUUAGCCACAGAAGAAGCACCGGCUAACUCCGUGCCAGCAGCCGCGGUAAUACGGAGGGUGCGAGCGUUAAUCGGAAUUACUGGGCGUAAAGCGCACGCAGGCGGUCUGUUAAGCAAGAUGUGAAAGCCCCGGGCUCAACCUGGGAACUGCAUUUUGAACUGGCAGACUAGAGUCUUGGAGAGGGGAGUGGAAUUCCAGGUGUAGCGGUGAAAUGCGUAGAGAUCUGGAGGAACAUCAGUGGCGAAGGCGGCUCCCUGGCCAAAGACUGACGCUCAUGUGCGAAAGUGUGGGUAGCGAACAGGAUUAGAUACCCUGGUAGUCCACACCGUAAACGCUGUCUACUAGCUGUCUGUGUAUUUAAUACGUGGGUAGCGUAGCUAACGCGCUAAGUAGACCGCCUGGGGAGUACGGCCGCAAGGUUAAAACU
rnacentral:rRNA from 1 species